CAAAGAAUCCAAGUUCUCCACAGCAGCUGCUUUCACAAUCUCAAGAUUUGGAGAUUUGAGGGGACUGCUGAGUGUGUGUUCCUCUCCUUCCUCUACAUCAAAGAUGUUCCACAGCUGUUCUGAUACCGAACAUGUUAAGAAAGAAGUUAUGAGCAUCUACUAAAUCCAGAUACUAAAGAAUUCUAAGAAGCUCAUAUAGUCUACAAAAGAAAAACACCCAAUCCCCAAUGCCUUGGAAAUACUACUCUUUUAGGAAGCAUCAACAAUUUUUAGUGAUAUUCUGAAAUCAAACAAGAAAGCACCAAGACAUAGAGGCUCUUGUGACUGAAUCUAAGAAGACCUGGAGAGAAAGGCUGUUCAGCUUUCAGAAGUUCAAAGGACUCCAGAAAUCAGCAGCCUGCACAGGGUAUAAGGUAAAAUUCCAGUUCAACCCAAGUCAAUGAGCGUUUUGAAACAAAGAGACAACUAAAAAUCACUGUCAUCCUUAUCCAGGUUUUUUCUUGAAGAAAUAUUAGACUUACCAACAGAAUUUAGAGUCUGGCACAUAGGGAAAACAUAUUUGCCUAUUAGAUAGCCACAUUUUUCUUUACGUUCUUCUCACUGCACCACAGAUA